UACAGAGGGUGCAAGCGUUAAUCGGAAUUACUGGGCGUAAAGCGUGCGUAGUCGGUUAUUUAAGUCGGGUGUGAAAUCCCCGGGCUCAACCUGGGAAUUGCAUUCGAUACUGGAUAGCUAGAGUUCGGCAGAGGGAAGCGGAAUUUCUGGUGUAGCGGUGAAAUGCGUAGAUAUCAGAAGGAACAUCAGUGGCGAAAGCGGCUUCCUGGACCAGAACUGACGAUCAGGCACGAAAGCGUGGGGGCAAACAGG
rnacentral:rRNA from 1 species